UGCAAACUUGCAAUGAGUGAAUUUACACCUUGAAAAUUGAAAAUGAUGUCGGUGGAAUUCAGCAACUAUAGACUAUAGAGUAUAGACUAUAUAGUUAACAGCUGUAUUUAUUUCUAUUAAGAGGAAGCAAACAUGGAAGCAGAGGCAACAGUUGUUUUAGAAGUUCCAGUGACAAAAGCUGUUGAGGACACAGAUCAUAAAGAUGAUAAAAUUAAGGAAACAAACGGGGACUUACCUCAAGUAGAGAUUGAAGGUAAGAAAGAAGAGGAAGAGAAUUCUUUUAAUGGAGAAUUCAUUAAAGCCGAAAAGGAAGAGAACACGGCGGCAGAAAGAAG